rnacentral:lncRNA from 1 species
CUUCCUUUGUGAGGAAGGCUAAAGAAAAAAAGAAUCAGUAGCUUUUAAAGCUGGGCCUUAGUGGGACUCUAAAUGCAAUGAAAGCAGUCUGUGUUGAGAGACUGAAAUGCAUUUCAAAGCCAGGCCUGAUUCGGGGUACAAGGAAGAACAGACCUAUGUGCAUUUUGUAGGAAGAAAACUGUGAAUGGAAAAAGGAGAAGGGGAGAGAAACGGGGGAAAUCUGGAUAAUACAUUAAAGUAACCAUAAUUUUGGAGAUGCAUUCAUCUUAUUGAAAAUAUAUUUCCUCAUGGUUGUGAUUCCUCUUCACUCUUUUGAAUUUGGAAGGAUGGCAUACACAUCUGAAAAAUAGUUCCUAGUAGCUAUCAUAUGCCGAAUGGAUAGCUCAACUGUUCACAACCACUACUUCCUUCAUUGGACUGCAAGGUAUUUCUGUUUGGAAAAGUAAUGGAGUCCAGUCAACUUCAUUGAUCGCCAAGGACUGUCAAAAUUAUAAAACUUGCUGUGGAGCUCUGACAUGCCAGAAGCCGCUAGAAAAAGAAGUUUGACAUUCAGAAACUUAUCAAGAGGUUCUACUCUUUGGAUAGAGACCAAAAUCAUACUUUGAAGGGAUUGCAGUGGCAAAGCUAGGCUAGGUCUUGGAGGCUGGUGUAAGGCGAUGUGGGUGAAGGCAGGAGGCUGAUGGAAAGACUGGGGGGAAGAAAAGCCGAAAUGGAUUCACGGUGCCUUGGAUGAAGGACGAGAGGGGAACUGCAAGCUCCUUCAACUGGUUCUGUCCGGUGAGAAGUGAUCAAGCUUGGGCUGACAAGAGGCUCAGGGAGCCCUCACGUUCUUUCGCUUUUUUACCUGCCAAUCAAACUGCUACAAGACAACACCCUGAUCUGGCAUGGACAUCGCGGGUCCAAGCCUGUAGCCCCAAAUCGGAUAAUCUCUGCAGCUGAUAACAAGCAAAAGAGAAGCCAGGCAACAGCCAUAUUAAAGAAGAAAACAAUCAACUCUGAGAUCCAACUUAGAAAUAAUGUUUCAUUCAAGAUAAGGCUCGUGGCUUAGGAGAUUGUGACCUGGCUUGCAUCAUUCUAAGACUUCUAUCGUCUGUUUUCAAAACCCAAGGAGGACCUCCUUUUCUGUGUGAUAGUUCCUCAUGCUUUGCCAGCCACUGGGUCUUUAAGGAAGCUUGCCAAGAGUUCCCGGCUGGGAAGGACAGUUCGAGUUCAUCAUAGACAAUGAGCUGGCACCACAGUUUAAGUGACUCACCAACCUGGUUGCCCACUUCAAAAUGUCAAGAACCACACUAUCUAAUUGAAAGAACUGUGUUUUAGCAAAGUGUAAUUGGAUCGCCUGGCAAGAUCAUCUCAAACUAUGUCUCUGACCUUGCCUUUCAGUGGCUAUUUUGAGCACAAGAGGAGAAAGGAAAUGAUUCCUGAAUUAUAUCUUGUUUUUAAAAAUUAAGAUUAAUUAAUACUUGGUUUUAUGUUCAUUCCAUUGUAGGAACUUAGUGAUUAUUACAAAACAGUCAAAAUAGGUCAUAGCAAAAUGAACGUUUAAGAUUAGGUUAAAACAUUCCUCUGAAAUUUUAGUAUUCACUUUUGAAGUGUCAAUUACUAUAUUUCUGUAAUUUCUCAUUUUUUUCUUGGCUUAGAGUCAAGAUGAAAAAUGAUAUUUGAAUCAAAGACAUUGUUUUGUUAUAUAGCCACUCCUUUCUAAAAUGCAAAUCCACCCUCCCCUCACCAAUGCUUUAUUCUUUGUGCGCGCACACACACACACACACACACACACACACACACACACACACAGACAUACACAGAACCAGCACCCAAAUGGUAGAGGAGGUCCUUCCAAGACUUCUAGGACCUGGAUCAUGUAAGCAGUAGAUGAGAAAAUGAAGUAAGAGAUAUAGAGUAAUAACAAUAAAAGUCAAUGAUUUCAUUUUACAAAAAAGUCAUUGUGUAGUACUCAGAUAUUUUUAAGAGCAAGUAUUAUUAUGACUAAAGUAUAUUAUACUUCUAAAUUAUUAUGAUUCUCAUCUAAUUUCAAGCCACACAUAGGCGCCAUUUGAAAGCAUUUUGUGUUACAACCUAUCAACAAAAAUCAACUAAUAGUUUUAUAACGUGCAUAGGUUUACCCCAUGGGGAAUUAAAAUUUUUAUCUGCAAGUAUUUCUGUUGUUGUGAGACUUUAGGACAAGACAACAUUUGGUGUUAACAUAGAAGAAUAUUCUAUGGCUUUUUUAGCUUUAAAGUUCAUUACUCUAAAAUAAAGUACACGUGGUAUUUUUUUCUUCCUAGUGUUCUCUUAUUAUAUGUAGAGUAUUUUCGGUUGUUGUUUUUAACGUAUACAUUAUUUUUAUUAAGUCAUUUCAUAAAAGAUAAGAUAUAUACUAAUAGACCCUUGGUUUUCUCCUAAUUUAAUUAUUUCAAGUCAAGCAAAAUUGGGCAAUUUUCUUUCAGGAAAAAAAAAAUAUUGAGCAUGAUUUUGAGGUAAAACUGAUUAUUUACAGCAUCUUUUCUCUAAUAGGCUAACAUUUAUGAUGGAUCUUAUUUCAAAGUUGAUUAUUCUCAAAGAAAAGUGGAGAUAUUAGAAUUUCCGAGUAAAUUGCAUUGUUUUAAAAAGUACUUUAAUGCAUUGUUCACAUUGUUGCCAGCUAUUGACCAAAAAAGAGAAGAAGAAAAAAGAAAUAAAAAAAGCAGUAUCUGCUCCAAACGUCAAGUUUUGCAGUUUGAAAGACUUGUACAUUAUAAUUGUUUUUUUCUUUUUUGGAAAGCAGUAGUAAUUAAUACCAAAGGCAUAGACAAUUUAGGGCCAUAACCUCCCUUCCCCCCUCUCCACCUUUUUUUUUUUUUUUUUUUUUUUUUAACUUUAACCAUGAUAGGCAUCUCUGCAAGGUAGGUUUUAACAUAUUUUUUUCCUAAUUUUUUUCCCUCCAUUCAGUAAGAAGGAUAAGCUUUUAGAGUACCCAGUCACCGUGGUAACUGCCAAAAAAAUUCUCCUGAAGUUUGAAGAGGUCAGCUAGCAGGGUCAACAACCCUGGCCUCUCUCUGAGCUCGGUCUAGCAUGCCCCAGCCUGCGGUUGGAGUGUCAGGCCAGAUCUGACCCUGGGAGGUGGACCAUUCUGGCUCUGAUAUAAAUUUUUCGAGUCAGUUCAUGGCCUGGACUCUCCAGGUGGCCUCCAAAAUCGAUUUUGACCCCCUGACCCUGUCUCACGGAGGCAUAGCAUCCACCCUAAGUAAGGAUUUAGCCAGGAAUGACAGCUUUCCACUGAGUGUUAUUGGGGACAGUAUAAACAGUUUGGAAAGCAAGUAAGGAGGUGUGAGGGCUAGCAAUCAUUAAAAGCACAUUAAAAAACAAUUUUUAAAAAUCUUUAUUAGAGAAAGUUGUAAAUGCAUAUCUGUUACAGAAUUCCUGUGAUUUGUAGAGUUUUCUAGUCAGUUUUGAAUAUAAAUAGGUCACAUAUCUUUAUCUUUUUGCAUACUUUGUUACAAAUAUGCAAAUAAGAUAGGCAUACUUGCUACAAAAUAGGUACAGCAGGAAUGUAAUAUGUUCAGAAAAGGCAAACUGGUUAUUAAAACACAUUAACAGGUAAGGAGUUUCUAAUAUUUUAAAUACUAAAAUUUUACAUGUGUAUUUUGAAGUUUUUAAAAUGGAAAAAUAAAGAACCUUUAAAAAACCCAACAGUGUGGAAUAAAGAUAAACUUGUUGCACUCAAGGUACAUUUCUACUUUGUAAAGCAAGAAGCCAAUACACUCAGUUGGAUAAAAAUGAGAGAAAAAUUGUAAAUAUAGAGAGUUACAGCUUAUAGAGCUGAAGAGGAAUAAAACAAAAAAAAGUGUCUCUGAAUAACUUUAUGUAUUUUCAACAGUUUAAGAUAUCAGAAACUUGGAAAAUAAAUAUGAUAUAUAUAUAAAUCAUCAGUGAUUAUUUCCUUUUCAUUCCCCCCCGCCCCCAGGAUGCCACCGUGAGUGUUUGAUUUUCUCUAGGAAAGUAGAAUUCUCUUUGAGAGUUCUAGCCUGUGAACUCAGUAUGUAAAUGUGGCCAUCAAGAAGACAGAACUGCCAAGAGGAAAGAUUAUGAAUGUUUUUCUUCCUUAAAACCAUUCACAGUGUUUCUUCUUCCAGUGCUUUACUCAGACUUCUCCCCUUUUCCCAGCUCUGUUGAAAAUGGCUUCAAAAGCAACACUGCAGUGGCUAAACCAAUUGUACUGUGAAGUUGUUGAGAUGCCAUUUCAUCUGAAUCCUUCGUAAAAAUUAGAUUUUUAAGUAGGGGUGAAUAUCCUUUUGGGAGAGGGAAUGGGAGGGUAGAAGAAGGGGGGAAAGGACAGAGCAGUUUAUAUAUAUAUAUAUAUAUAUAUAUAUAUAUAUAUAUAUAUAUAUGAGUAUAUAUAUAUGAGUAUAUAUAUAUAUGAGUAUAUAUAUAUGAGUAUAUAUAUAUGAGUAUAUAUAUAUGAGUAUAUAUAUAUGAGUAUAUAUAUAUAUGAGUAUAUAUAUAUGAGUAUAUAUAUAUAUGAGUAUAUAUAUAUGAGUAUAUAUAUAUAUGAGUAUAUAUAUAUAUACUCUUUGUGUUUGAAGGCCUCUGUGUCUUGGCUUCUCACUAUGUUAAAUCCCUAUUAUAAAACUUAUCUUCACAAAGCCUAUUAUAGUAUUCUGAGAACAAAUUGGACCAUGAAUAACUUAGUUGGAAGUGUAGAUUAUUUUCUACUCAGGGGAAGUUAGAGAUGACAACAGCUUAACUGAAAGAAUAGUGAUUAAUCUUAAAUAGAUGGAUUUCAAAGUUUCACUCUUGAUAAAGAGUACCUUUGAUAUUUCCCCUCUUCAGAAUCACGUUUCCACUCUCUUUGUAUUAAGAAUUGUCCUAGUGAUUACACUCUCCCCCUAAUACAGCUCAAAGUGUAGAUCAUUUUUUUUCCAGGUUGUUAAUUUGUCAGAGAGGUGACCAGAAAGACACUCUACUUCCUGUUGGUUAAAUCGAUGAUUCCUAAGUGGUACUAGGCUUAGAUACAAAAGUCAAUGAUAAGAAUAUCUUGCAUAAAUCAUAGCUUCUUACUUAGAUAAAAUUCUUAUUUAAAAAUUUUUAAUUUGCUUAAUGCCCUAUAGCUUACAAAGCACUUUUUAAAUCAUAAUUUUGUUUAAUCCUUAGAAUAAUGUUAUAAGAUAAACAAAACUCAUCAAUCCCAUUUUACCUGUGAUUGCACACUGUGAUUGAGCUAAUAAAUGGAAGAAUUGAGAUACCAACUCAGAUUUUGUAGCUUCUGUUUCAAGUGAUUAACCUGUAGCAACAGGCUUUUGAAUUAUUUUUGUGUUCUAUAUCCCUGAAGAUAAAGAUUCUGUAUUAAAGAGCCAAGAUUUUAUAUCUCACAAAUUAAAAACUUAAAAGACAUGACUGAAAAGAAUUCUGUUUACUUUAAAGUGAAUUUUACCAGUUAUUAUUUUUCUUUCUAUAUAUAUGCUUAAAUGGUCUUUCAGAACUGACGGUUUUAAUUUCCAAAAGUUAAACAUGGGAAGCUCUAUAUAAAUUAAAUAACUAUCUGGAAUUUAAACCACGUAUAUAAGAAACUUAGAUUCUAUAUUUCAAAGUAAAAUAUAGCAUAAGACUUUAGAAGCAGGUUCUACAUAUUAAGUAAUUAUUUGAGAAUAUGCCAUUGAUAAAGCUCUUGAGUGUUAGAGGCGAGAUUUCCCUUCAAUUUUAAAAAACUUUUAAAAUCUUUUAACAUCUUAGCAAGUCUGGAUAAACAAAGUCAAAGUCAUAUAGAACUACUUUUGUUCUCUUAGGCUUUUACUUUUUGUGUUUAAUAAAAAGGUUUGCAAAAUACUCUAGGAAAAAUAAUAAAAGGAUUAUUAACUUGACAUUAAUGUAAACCAUCUAAACAUUACAGAAAUCAAGAAAUACAAAUAGAUGACAUUAUUUUAUUCUUAGGUUUUUAAUUAUAUUGCUUUAAACAUGUAAUGUGGGCAGUGUAGAUGUUAAUAUGGAAAUUCUUAUUUUUUAUUUCUUAAAUUAUAUAAAAUUAAAUUAGUCAUUUUAUAUAUACUUAAAUUAAUGCUUUUGCCCUUGAAAUAUUCUAGCAGCCAGAAAAAUCUAGUUAAGCUUGUUAGCAUUAGACAAAAUGAAAAAGUGUAGAGAAAAAGAAAAGCGACUGUUCUGGUAUCAAUAAUGACAUAUGAUAACCUUUUUUUGUACUGAAGUUUUUCUACAAAAACAUGACAUUAGACUGAGGAUUUUUCAUUCUGAUGUGCAGGUUAAUGUUCAAGUCUCCAAAUACAAACUUCUAGUGUCUCCUCCACUUGUAUGCAAAUUAGGAAAUGCAAAAAUAAGGUCUCUUAAAUUGACAGCUAUGUUUGUUUAGAUAUUCUUCAAAAUUUUAUAAUUUCUUAUAUUACCAAUCUCACUCAUUUUGGUCAUGUGUGUCUUUAACAGCUGUUCAAAACAGGUUUUCUUCCCUUCCUCCUUCCUUCCUUCUGCCCUUCGUUCCCUUCCUUCUCUCUCUUCCCCUUCUCUUUUUCCUGCUUUCUUUCUUGUCCCUCUUCCCUAUCCUUCCUUUUUUUCUUUCUCCUCUCUUUUCAUCCCUUCUUCUUUCCUACGUUACUCAUUAGUUUUUAGGUGUUUUUGUUUUAAAAUGCAGGGCAGCUUGGGUUAAGGGGUUAUCUAAUGCAAUAUAUUUUGCCAAACUGAGGUGCUGAACAAUGAAACAUUUCAGUUUAAACUUGCAUCAAGUCAGAAAACCCUCAAGUAUGGUAUCAAGACUUUUCUGACAAUGAAAAUCCAAUACUGAAUGAUCAACUUUUAAAAUGUUACAGAUUCUGGCAGUUUCUCUCUUGCUAUCUUUGUAGUCUUUCUAAGUCAUCUAAACUAUUGGUUAGUUAUGUUAGCUUCUUGUGUUGCAAAGAAAAAGAGCAUUUUUAGAAAUCUGACAAGAAAUUUUGUCAAAUUGCUACACAUAAUUUGUAUAUAAGUACAUAAAAGCACAAUACUAGCUAGCAUUGAAAAAUUUGAAUAAAGAUCAGAGAUUUCUCACUUUUUUCCCACCCCUGUCCAAUAUACUGUGGUAUUAAAUAUUUAAUAUAUGUUCAUUUUUUCUCUUCCUUUCCCCAACCCCCACAAAGCUGUUAUCAAUCUGGACAGAUGAAUAAAUUUUGGCAAAAUAAGAUUUGUUUAGAAUGGUAAGAAUUCUUCCUAAUAAAGUUUUUAAGCAAGUCAAUAAGGCAUAAAAAUGUUCUGUAUUCUUCUAAA